CUAGAACACAGAGGUAGAAUUGUAGACUAGAACACAGAGGUAGAACUGUAGACUAGAACACAGAGGUAGUACUGAAGAGUGUAGAACACAGAGGUAGAACUGUAGACUAGAACACACUGUAGUAAUAGAAUGUGCCCUAAAUACAGUCUGAAUACAUUACACAGGUGGUACAAGGAACCACUGUGUCCCAAUUGGCACCCUAUUCCCUAUUUCGUGCACUACUUUUAACCUGAGCCUUAUGGGUCCUGGUAGAAGGUAGUGCACUAUAAUAAUAAUAAUAAUGAUAUGGUGCCAUUUGGAACAUAGAGAGUCUUAUCAGUGUGUUUCCAGUCAGAUCUGUGUUGAGUGUGAGAAGCUAAAUGCAGAAUACAGUACUAUGCACUUCACACUACUUUCACUUCUGCCUUAGUGGUUCAGCAGGACAAUGCAACUGGCUAGAAUAGAGAAGUGAGAACUGAUCCAUCUCUCUGGAUAACAACAUCUGCUAAAUUACUCAGAUCUAAAUGUCUGUCUCGUGGUAAUAAGUCAGAGGGAAUACAGUAGGCAGAAGUUGUCUAAAUGUCUGUCUCGUGGUAAUAGGUCAGAGGGGAGGGAAUACAGUAGGCAGAAGUUGUCUAAAUGUCUGUCUCGUGGUAAUAAGUCAGAGGGAAUACAGUAGGCAGAAGUUGUCUAAAUGUCUGUCUCGUGGUAAUAGGUCAGAGGGAAUACAGUAGGCAGAAGUUGUCUAAAUGUCUGUCUCGUGGUAAUAGGUCAGAGGGAAUACAGUAGGCAGAAGUUGUCUAAAUGUCUGUCUCGUGGUAAUAGGUCAGAGGGAAUACAGUAGGCAGAAGUUGUCUAAAUGUCUGUCUCGUGGUAAUAGGUCAGAGGGAAUACAGUAGGCAGAAGUUGUCUAAAUGUCUGUCUCGUGGUAAUAGGUCAGAGGGAAUACAGUAGGUAGAAGUUGUCUAAAUGUCUGUCUCGUGGUAAUAGGUCAGAGGGAAUACAGUAGGCAGAAGUUGUCUAAAUGUCUGUCUCGUGGUAAUAGGUCAGAGGGAAUACAGUAGGCAGAAGUUGUCUAAAUGUCUGUCUCGUGGUAAUAGGUCAGAGGGAAUACAGUAGGUAGAAGUUGUCUAAAUGUCUGUCUCGUGGUAAUAGGUCAGAGGGAAUACAGUAGGCAGAAGUUGUCUAAAUGUCUGUCUCGUGGUAAUAGGUCAGAGGGAAUACAGUAGGCAGAAGUUGUCUAAAUGUCUGUCUCGUGGUAAUAGGUCAGAGGGGAUGGAAUACAGUAGGCAGAAGUUGUCUAAAUGUCUGUCUCGUGGUAAUAGGUCAGAGGGAAUACAGUAGGCAGAAGUUGUCUAAAUGUCUGUCUCGUGGUAAUAGGUCAGAGGGAAUACAGUAGGCAGAAGUUGUCUAAAUGUCUGUCUCGUGGUAAUAGGUCAGAGGGAAUACAGUAGGCAGAAGUUGUCUAAAUGUCUGUCUCGUGGUAAUAGGUCAGAGGGAAUACAGUAGGCAGAAGUUGUCUAAAUGUCUGUCUCGUGGUAAUAGGUCAGAGGGGGUGGAAUACAGUAGGCAGAAGUUGUCUAAAUGUCUGUCUCGUGGUAAUAAGUCAGAGGGAAUACAGUAGGCAGAAGUUGUCUAAAUGUCUGUCUCGUGGUAAUAGGUCAGAGGGGGUGGAAUACAGUAGGCA